UUACAACCUGUGUACUAUGCUCCAGCUUUUGUGAGCUGUCAUUCUUGCUGGAGUGGCCUUUGAUGCUGCAGUUGUCUUUGAGUCCUUUCUGCUCCUGUAAGUAACCCUUCACCCAUAGCCCUAUAAGUAACAACUAGUUCAACUUAUUGGUUCAUCAAGACGGACUUCGGUGGUAAAGUACUUUGCUCAGCCAUAGGCUCCUUAUCUGUGAUGAGUAGACAUUUGUGUUGCAUCUCUCCAGGAAAGUCUUGUCACACAACAGCCAUCUUGCUUCCAGAACUAUAUAUUUACAUAUUUUGACAAGGUCUCAGUAUGUAGCCAUAGCUGGCCUGCAAUUCACUAACUCACUUUGUAGAGCAUAAAGACCGGCCUGCCUCUAAUUUCCCAGCAUUGGGAUUAAAGGAAUGCACAGCCAAAGUAGAUGUUUUAAAAUUGUCUGUGUAUGAGUGUUCUGCCUGCAGAGGCCAGAAGAGGACAUCAGGUUCCCUAAACUGGAGUUAUGGUUGUGGGUCACCAUGUGGGUGCUCAAAGCCAAAACACUGGACAAAUAGCCAGUACUCUUAACCACUGAGCAUCUCUCCAGGCACACGUCUCUACUUGUUUUUGAGACUGACUGUCAUAUAUCCCAGGCUGGCUUUGAACCAAGGAUGGCCUUGAGCUUCUUCCACUCCUUCAUCUCUGGAGUACUGGGAUUGCAGGCAUGCGUCAUCACCCACUGUUAAGUAGUAUGAUAACGAUCUUUACGUUUAUUUUGUGGGUGCCUAUAAAUGUGUGAAAGGACAUCUUUCGGGAGCCAGUUCUGUCCUUUUACCCUGUGGAUCCCAGGGAUUGAAUUCAGGCCAUCAUGCUUUGCAGCAGAUGGCUUUACCUGCUUACGUCAUCUCACUGGCCCAAUAUACCUGGUUUUAUAUGGUGCUGGGAACUGAACCCACAGCUUUGUGCAUGCUAGGUGAGCAUGUUACAUGGGGGUCUCAGUAUGCAGCCCUAGCUAGCCUUGACCUUAUAGAGAUCGUCUUCCCUGACUUCUGAGCUCCAGCAGCACCAGCAGUUUGGAAAUGUGAACUCCCGUUUAAAGUCCCGGCAUAUGCAUCUGUUUCCCACUUGCCACGUGACCUCUCCAAGCCUUCUUCUCCAAUAGUUGGGUUAAUAGGCCAUCAGAGAGCAAUGCAUAGCCCACAUUCAGAAAACCUGCUGGGGUGGGGGUCGCUCUGA
rnacentral:lncRNA from 1 species